rnacentral:rRNA from 1 species
UACGUAGGUGGCAAGCGUUAUCCGGAAUUACUGGGCGUAAAGCGCACGCAGGCGGCUCGCUAAGUCUGGCGUGAAAGAACCUGGCUUAACUGGGGGAGGUCGUUGGAGACUGGCGGGCUUGAGGACAUGAGAGGGGUGCGGAAUUCCCGGUGUAGUGGUGGAAUGCGUAGAGAUCGGGAGGAACACCAGUGGCGAAAGCGGCACCCUGGCAUGAACCUGACGCUCAGGUGCGAAAGCGUGGGGAGCGAACGGG